rnacentral:lncRNA from 1 species
CCUGAAUGUAAUCUGCCUCCUUUCUCUUGUAGCUUUUAAUAUUUUCUCUUUGUUCUGUAUAUUGGAUAUCUUCAUAACAAUGUGUCUUGGCAUUGGUCUACUGUGAUUUUGUAUGCUCCGUGUCCUGUAUGCAUUUACAAUUUGUAUAUCCGUUUCCUUUUUUAUUUCUGGAAAGUUUUCUGUAAUUAUUUCAUUCAUCAGGUUACUCAUUCCCUUGGUUUGAACCUCUAUACCUUCCUCUAUCCGGAUGACUCUUAAGUUUGGUUUUUUUAUGUUAUCCCAUAUCUCUUGGAUGUUUUUCUUGUGAUUUUUUACCAGCCUUUCUGAGUUGGUUAGACUCUUUUCAAGAUGAUAUAUUUUGUCUUCAUUAUCUGACGUUCUGGCUUCUACUUGCUCCACUCUGUUAGUGAUACUCUCAUUUGAGUUUUUAAUUUGGUUUAUAGUUUCCUUCAUUUCUAAAAUUAUUGUUUGAUUUUUUUUAUAAUCGCUAUCUCCUGAUAAAGAUGCUUAACUUCUUCUUUUAUCUGUUUAUGUAAUUCAUUUUUAAUGUGUUCUUUCACUGUUUGAAUUUGCUGUCUCAUAUCCUCUUUAAGGUUCCAUUCCAUCUGUCUAAGGUAUUCCUUGAGUUCUUUAUAUGACCAUUUUUCUGAUGACUCUAGGUCCUCCUGACUAUUUAGGCUGUCCUGCGUUGUUUGUACUCCUUUUCUUCCUUGCUUUUUCAUGCUGCUCAUGUUACUUCUUGUUCUGUUUGACUGCUGAGUUACUGUUUACUCCUAUAAAUUUAUUUGAUGCUUGGGAGGAAAGGUAUUAGAAGGGAAGGGAAGAAGUGAGUAAAGAGAAUGAGAGUAAGCAGGUAGAAUUCAAGGAAGGGGGAAUAAGAAAAUUGAAAAGAAAUGAAAAGACAAAAGAAAAAAAAUAGAAAAUAAAAAAAGAAAAAAAAUUAAAAAAAAAUAAAUUAAAAUUAAAAAAGAAAAUAAAAAAAUUAAAAAACAACAAAAAAAAUGAAAAUGAAAAAAAACCGCAAAUUAAAAAAAAUUAAUAAAUGCAGUCUUAGAGUUUGAUUAACUUCUCUUCCAGUAGGUGGAGCUGUGCCCUCUCAAUACGCGGGAACCAAUCACUGUGCAGCAGCUCCUCCUCCCAGACUGGGCGGGUCUCCAAUCCUGAGUGCCUAGGGCGUUCUCUUGUGUCUAGUCACUUCCCCACUUUUCCUCAAGCCAGGCCCCGCUCACCAGUGACGCUCACCACAAUACUGGCUACACGCCAGGUCUGCUGCUCCCAGGAGCCCUGUUUUCAUGAACUACUGGGCACACUCUCCCUGUUUGCCAUUCCCUCAGACCCUAAGUUUUUAGAGCUUGGGGCUGAGAACCCUCAGUAAAUUUUGCUAGCCCUCCAGUAGCCACGCCCCCGGUAGCUGGUGCAAGAGACCUCAGUUGUCAGCACUGGUGGGAGCGGUAGCCGGGAGUUCCGCGCCGCGGGUCCCGCGCCACUCCUGAUUCCCUUGGUCUGGCUAUCGCGCUCACGGGAGAGCUGGGAGGGGCCCUUAAGGUUUCCCUGCUGUGUGGAGAGGGAAGGCUAGGAGAUUACACACCUGUCGCCACUGGUUUCAAUGAAGUUAUCUCCUCCGCCGCAUUCUGGUGACGUCAGUUCUCUGCCAUGGUGGUAUCCCAUGCAAAUGGUGACAGUUCGUUCCCUUUGCCGGGUGACCAAUGCAACGGGUGGGUCCUGAGUGUCUCUCCCAAGCCCCAUUUCAAUCCUGUGGCCACUGCCUAUGAAGGCUCGGUUGGCAUUAACCUCCGUAGGAUCAGAAGGUCCGACCAGUUGUUUCAGCGGGAUUGUUUAGUGCUGAGUCACAGCAGUUUGUCUUCGAGAAGCAAGGGAACGGGAGCUUGAAUUCAGCCAAUCCAGGCUCAGUGUGUGUUCUGAGAGGCCCAGACUGUUCGCCUCAGAUCCACGUCAGCUCAGCAUUGCCUAGUGAUCCUGAGCAAACAGCAUUUAGACGGUUUACGACUCCCUAUGCCCACGCAGCUGAAGAGGUCAGAGACUUGAUCUCUCCGCGCCCGCCGCCAUGUUGGAUCAGGGAUAUAGAAUUUUAAUUUAUUCUCAGUUAUUAUAAUGAGCAGGUUAUAAAGUAUUUAGUUAUUUGGGGGCAUUUUCACAUUCUGAAGAGUCACAGACAGCUGUUAGGAUUUAAAAUAUAUAUGCAUGCAUUAAAUAGCAUAAUUAAUAUGUUAAAUAAUAUUUGGACUAUUUUAGAUUUUUUCUUUUUAAAGAAUAUUAUUACUAAAGAGACCUGCAAGUUACAGAUGUACCUCCUAAGGUACAAAAAUAGAUAUUGUGAAGUAGAACCAAAAAUACAUCAUAAUAAAAAUGGAGUACUGAUAUCAUUUAUGAGAAGAAGUUCAAGAGAAAGUGUAGAAAUUCUAAAGUGGAGCUAUUCGGAAGUCUACUGAAUCUGGAACCACAAAAGUUGUCUAGGUAGGAGAUUUAGGGAGGUUGUUGUUAGUAAGAUUGCCCAAGUAUGAAGAGGGAGAAGAUGCCCGAAGAUGGAACACUGGGGUCAACAGCUUUUAAGAGAUAAGCAAGGACACAUUGUCUCCUUGAUGGAGAAAGAGACAACAUGCUCAGAGAAGAUAAUCAGGAGAGAGUGAGGUCAUGGUAGCCAAAGGAGUAGAGAACUUCUAGAAGGGAAGGAGGAAUAAAUCAUGUCAGGUGCUUAUAGAGGUUGAAUAAGGUAAGUAUGGUCUAGUAUUCAUUGCACCAGCCAUUAGAAAUUUGUGGAUUGUUUGGAAGAAAAUAAUGGGUGGCUGGUGAGACCAGAUGCCAGAUCUCAAAUCUUUACCCACUACAUUGACUGGUGAGACAGUAGAGAUAGCAAAGGAAGAUUCUUCUUUUAUCAAGAAAGUUAGCUUUAAAGGAAAGCAGAGUAGAUGAAAACAUAGAAAAGGUUUUUAAAAGAAAUAGCUGAGAGAAGUAGAUUCAGGUAAGUGUUCAGGAAGAAGGGCAGGAAUUCAGAGAUGCCCUCCCUAAGAGGUUCUGCCUUCACAUGGUAAGCCUUGAAGUGGCAGCUGGAGGACUGAAAGAAUUGCCACUGACAGGAGUUGGCCAGGCAUCCGUUGUGUGUGAACAGCAUCAAGAACUCAGCUCAAUAUUAAGACCAUGAAUUUAUUGUCAAGGCUACCUUCACGUUCCUGUACUUUUAUGCUAGCAUGUUUAUGCAGUCUAGCUGUGGGAGGGAAGAUGCAUGGUCAGAUCUACCCAGAGAUUGGAUUUUAUAUAAUAGACAAACAGCAUGUGCAGAGAUCCUGUGGUAUCCAGAUUGGAUUUUAUAUAAUAGACAAACAGUAGAAUAAAGUGGCUAUAAUUUGGAUAUGGUUUGCAGGCUCUAGGAUCUAGUUCCACAAGUAAGAUAUUAAAAUACUUAGCAGGCAUUUGACCAUCUUGUCCACUGAUGUGCCAUCACCAUGUAUCCUGAGUAUCUGGAGCCACUCCUGGUACUACUAUGUGCUCAAUGAAUGUUUUCCAGUGAAUCAUUUUUCCAGAGCUCCAAAGCUUGGCCUUGGUCUGCCUUUACUACGUAACUAGUAGCUAUGAGAUUAUGGAUACAUGAUUUUACACUUUGGUUUCUUCCUGUGUAAAAUAAGAACUUUUCAAAUGUUAAUGAAGCAUUAGAAUUACAUUUGGAACAUGGUAAUUCCAGAUAAACAUUAACUGCUGUUAAAUAUUUUGCUUUCAUUCUCUUACCACUCAUUCUUGUAUAGUCUAACUUUGCCGGAAACAGUGUUUGACACAUAAUAAACAUUCAGUAAAUAUCUAUUGAGUGAACAGAAGGCUUUGUUUUUACUAUGAUAUAUUUAGCAGAUGUUAGUGUCAGUCAAGUGAGAGGCUAGAAGCCUGGUGAUUUAAAAUAUUGCUUUUUGCCUUAGAGAGUUUCAGAAUGUGGUUUAUGAGAGACAUUAACCAAAUAAGCCAAUAAAUGGAAAAUGAAGCCAGGUACCUUUGCGCACACCUGUAAUCCCAGUGGCUUUGGAGGCUGAGGCAGGAGAAUCCUGAGUUCAAAGCCAGCCUCAGCAAAAGCGAGGUGCUAAGCAACUCAGUAAGACCCUGUCUCUAAAUAAAAUACAAAAUAGGGCUGGGAAUGUGACCCAGUGGUCAAGUGCCCCCAAGUUCACUCCCCAGUACAAAAAAAUAUAUAAAUAAAUAAAAUAAAAUGAAACCUGGAAAAUUUUAUGGAGGAUUGUAAUACAAUACUGUGAGAGCCUUUGCUAGAGGACCUUACCAGGGAGAAAAAGUAAGAGUUCACUGAAGAAAUGAUGUUUAAAGCAGGUGGAGAGGGGACUGCAUGUGUAGAAGUCCUAUAGUGUCCAGAGUGGCUGAGGUGGAGUAGUGGGAGUGUGGUCUGAAACCAGGGUUAGGAAGGUGAAUGGAGUCAGACCAUAUUAAGAUUGAAAAAAUUUUAAAAAAAUGGAAAAAAUAUUGGCAAAGUAGAUGCUGCUAGACCAAUUAGGAGACUGCUAUAUCAGUUCCAACAAGAGGUGGUAAUUAUGUAGACUAGGGACAGGUGAUGGUGAUGGUGAUGGUGAAGGGAAAAGUGUUAGGCUUCUGAGGCAUUUGGAAAAUAGUAUUGAUGGGUAGGGUUGAAGAACAGGAAGCUUAUGAAUUUUGAUUUUAAAAAAAUAGUUGAACAAGGCCCUGGGUUCAAUCCCCAGCACACCCCCCCCCACACACACACACACAAAGAGUAGUUGAGAAAAGUAGAUGCAGGUAAGUGUUCAGGAAGGAGGGCAGGAGUUCAGAGAUGCCCUCCCUGGAAGUCCUGCCCUCACAUGGUAAGUCUUGAAGUGGCAGAUAGGGGACUGCAAAGAUUGCCAAACACUUUGGCUGUGUUUGAUCUACCUUGAAGACAUCCA